ACUCCUACGGGAGGCAGCAGUGGGGAAUAUUGCACAAUGGGCGCAAGCCUGAUGCAGCCAUGCCGCGUGUAUGAAGAAGGCCUUCGGGUUGUAAAGUACUUUCAGCAGUGAGGAAGGUUCAUACGUUAAUAGCGUAUGGAUUUGACGUUAGCUGCAGAAGAAGCACCGGCUAACUCCGUGCCAGCAGCCGCGGUAAUACGGAGGGUGCGAGCGUUAAUCGGAAUUACUGGGCGUAAAGCGCAUGCAGGCGGCCUGUUAAGUCAGAUGUGAAAGCCCGGGGCUUAACCUCGGAAUUGCAUUUGAAACUGGCAGGCUAGAGUCUUGUAGAGGGGGGUAGAAUUUCAGGUGUAGCGGUGAAAUGCGUAGAGAUCUGAAGGAAUACCAGUGGCGAAGGCGGCCCCCUGGACAAAGACUGACGCUCAGAUGCGAAAGCGUGGGGAGCAAACAGGAUUAGAUACCCGUGGUAGGAUAGCG
rnacentral:rRNA from 1 species